AGGAAACUCAUCUUCCAGCAAUGGCGAUUGUGUAGGUGCUGCAUGGUUGUCGUCAGCUCGUGCCGUGAGGUGUCGGCUUAAGUGCCAUAACGAGCGCAAUCCUUAUCGUUAGUUGCCAGCGGGUGAUACCGGGAACUCUAGCGAGACUGCCACCGUAAGGUGUGAGGAAGGUGGGGAUGACGUCAAAUCAGCACGGCCCUUACGUCCGGGGCGACACACGUGUUACAAUGGGGGGUACAGAGGGUUGCUACCAGGUGACUGGAUGCUAAUCUCUAUAAAGCCUCUCUCAGUUCGGAUCGGAGUCUGCAACUCGACUCCGUGAAGCUGGAUUCGCUAGUAAUCGCGCAUCAGCCAUGGCGCGGUGAAUACGUUCCCGGGCCUU
rnacentral:rRNA from 1 species